GGUCGAGACAUGAAGACACGUCGUGCCUUGCGAAAUCAUCAAUAUCUACGGUCAAAGACCUCUGCCAAGGAAAACCGACGUGUGUUGUCCACGCUAGUAACCGCCUGUUUGGUGACCCCUGUGCCGGAACGUACAAGUAUCUGGACGUUGUGUAUGAGUGCAAUUAAGACACAUUGGGGCAAGAAGUGAUCAACCCGACUGCGUUUAAUGCCAACAAAAACAAGAAAAUUGUUUAAUUUUAAACUUUGAUAAUGAAAUUUCUUAAUUCAGACAUUAAUUUUGAGCAAUCAUGGUUAUCCUACAACUAUUUUCUAUAACCUGUCUUUUGUCAAGUUUAUUAUUAUUUGGGAGUAGAGAAGAAUAGUACCUUAACAAUGCCGACUGUCCAGUCCCUAUUCAGAGGCGGAUUUAGGGUGGGGCACUGAGGUAGUUUUGCCACUGCCGUCCUAUUUCUGUAACAGCAUAUAAUGCACACGAAUUAUUAGGCCCAAUAAAAAAAUGUAUUAGUUUAUCACCCUCGCACGCAUGCCUUCUAUGGUACUGGGAAAAAAAAAAUUUGAAAAAUUUUUUUUUU